rnacentral:misc_RNA from 1 species
UCAAACUUGGUCAUUUAGAGGAAGUAAAAGUCAUAACAAGGUUUCUGUAGGUGAACCUGCAGAAGGAUCAUUAGAGAAUAUUCAGGAUCAGUUUUCGAACUUUUCCGAUCUUUAUUUAUCCAUUAAACACUUUGUGCAUGGGGUUUAUCCGGCAACGGAUUGACCCACAUUUUUAUUCAAAACUCUAUUAAUUUUUUUGAACGAAAAUUCAUUAAAACAAAAAUGAUAACUUUUGACAACGGAUCUCUUGGUUCUCCCAUCGAUGAAGAACGCAGC